rnacentral:lncRNA from 1 species
CAAGUUUAAAUACAAUUUAAGGAUAUAUCAUGAUUGAAGAUUUAGAAUAAUAAGAUGGCUAUAAUUCACAAUGUAGUUGUGAAUUAGCAUGAACAAACUUUUGACUGAACAAGUAUUACAUAUGAAUAAUAUAUAUCUGGACCAACUGGAAAUGAAGGUGAUCAGCCUUUCAUACCUGACUUAUACAUACAAGAUGUACAGAGUACAAUUCUACAUGGCAAUCAGUAACGAUUAAC